rfam:Mus musculus chromosome 5, GRC primary reference assembly.
AGCCCUUCUGGCAAUGGGCAAAGAGCUUCAUUGUCAGAGGUGGUGUUCUUCUAUCAGUCAGGGGCAGAGCAGAAGGCAGGCCUUUGUUCAUCCUAGCUUGAUGCCUGGCUUGGUGGCCAAAGCUGUUUUAUGACAAGGGCUCAUAA